rnacentral:rRNA from 1 species
UCCAGACUCCUACGGGAGGCAGCAGUGAGGAAUAUUGGUCAAUGGGCUUACGCCUGAACCAGCCAAGUCGCGUGAGGGAAGACUGCCCUAUGGGUUGUAAACCUCUUUUGUCAGGGAGCAACGCCGGCUACGUGUAGCCGGACUGAGAGUACCUGAAGAAAAAGCAUCGGCUAACUCCGUGCCAGCAGCCGCGGUAAUACGGAGGAUGCGAGCGUUAUCCGGAUUUAUUGGGUUUAAAGGGUGCGUAGGCGGGCUUUUAAGUCCGCGGUAAAACCCCGGGGCUCAACCCCGGCGAGCCGUUGAAACUGGCUGUCUUGAGAUGUCGAGAGGUAUGCGGAAUGCGCAGUGUAGCGGUGAAAUGCAUAGAUAUCACGCAGAACUCCGAUUGCGAAGGCAGCAUACCGGCGCCCAACUGACGCUGAAGCACGAAAGCGUGGGUAUCGAACAGGAUUAGAUACCCGCGUAU